rnacentral:misc_RNA from 1 species
AACCUAGCACACCUGCGGUGUGUACCUGCGGAAGGAUCAUUACCGAGUUAUACAACUCCCAAACCCACUGUGAACCUUACCUCAGUUGCCUCGGCGGGAACGCCCCGGCCGCCUGCCCCCGCGCCGGCGCCGGACCCAGGCGCCCGCCGCAGGGACCCCAAACUCUCUUGCAUUACGCCCAGCGGGCGGAAUUUCUUCUCUGAGUUGCACAAGCAAAAACAAAUGAAUCAAAACUUUUAA